rnacentral:tRNA from 1 species
GAAGGUAUAGCUCAGUGGUAGAGUGCAUGCUUAGCAUGCAUGAGGUCCUGGGUUCAACCCCAGUACCUUGG